rnacentral:sRNA from 2 species
AAGCUUCUCAGAGGUCGGUCUCGUCACGUCUGGAGAGAAAAUAUCUCAUAGCGGGAAAAUACGUCGUUAGAUGUCGGCGGAUGCUGUGCUUGGAGUCUUCCACGAGAAACGCGCCAGCUGGCGAAUUGCAAUGUCGAAGCAAUUCUUAUAGCCUGGGUCGUGUCAGCAGUUGAGUUGCAUGCUUGUUUCUGUUGGAGGUUCCGCACCCCACCUACCGACUAGAUCGAUAAUAACAACCAACCAGGUCCAGGUUCAACCUCUCUUACAGUUUCGAUCACUACGCUGUAGUUAGUCACCGAUACUUAACUAGUUAUUGCUUGACUUGAUAUGCUGGCAGCGCGGCAGAGCCAAACCGCAAGCUCGAAUAUCUGGCCAGCGAGCACCCUGCUGCCAAGCGAAAAUAUAAGGAUUGAUAGUUACACGGCUAAUUACACCGCCGCUAGGAUGACUACCUUUUCAAAAUUCAUAGUGUAAACUGCGUACAUAGCUUUACAUCCAAAAUAACUAACUAGUAUUUCAAAGUAGUUUGAAUGAAGAGUUCAUAAGAAAUCUCUCAUUGCCGC